rnacentral:rRNA from 1 species
UACGUAGGCAGCAAGCGUUGUUCGGAGUUACUGGGCGUAAAGGGUGUGUAGGCGGUUGUUUAAGUUUGGUGUGAAAUCUCCCGGCUCAACUGGGAGGGUGCGCCGAAUACUGAAUGACUUGGAGUACGGGAGAGGAAAGUGGAAUUCCUGGUGUAGCGGUGAAAUGCGUAGAUAUCAGGAGGAACACCGGUGGUGUAGACGGCUUUCUGGACCGUAACUGACGCUGAGACACGAAAGCGUGGGUAGCAAACGGG